rnacentral:rRNA from 1 species
CCUACGGGGGACUGCAGUAGGGAAUCUUCCACAAUGGGCGAAAGCCUGAUGGAGCAACGCCGCGUGGGUGAAGAAGGUCUUCGGAUCGUAAAACCCUGUUGUUAGAGAAGAAAGUGCGUGAGAGUAACUGUUCACGUUUCGACGGUAUCUAACCAGAAAGCCACGGCUAACUACGUGCCAGCAGCCGCGGUAAUACGUAGGUGGCAAGCGUUAUCCGGAUUUAUUGGGCGUAAAGGGAACGCAGGCGGUCUUUUAAGUCUGAUGUGAAAGCCUUCGGCUUAACCGGAGUAGUGCAUUGGAAACUGGGAGACGUGAGUGCAGAAGAGGAGAGUGGAACUCCAUGUGUAGCGGUGAAAUGCGUAGAUAUAUGGAAGAACACCAGUGGCGAAAGCGGCUCUCUGGUCUGUAACUGACGCUGAGGUUCGAAAGCGUGGGUAGCAAACAGGAUUAGAUACCCCUGUAGUC